CGCGCGCCCUCGCGCGUCCCCCGCGCCCGGGCGCAGCUGGCGCGGUCGGUCUAGUGCAGCGCUCGGCUCCGCGCCUCGGGCGCUCGGCUUCACCUUCAGAGGCGCGGGGCGUGCGCGUCCUCCUCCCCGGGCCCGCCGCCUCCCGCCAAGGUGCCCUCUGCCGCCCGCCAUGCUUUCCGGGUAGGAGACGCACGUCGUCCUGGGAGGUGCGUCUCUGCAGCCGGGAAGCCAAGGCCCCGUCGGAAAAUGGAGAGAUAAGACGGCGUCUGGCAGGCCUGUGCGACAGAAAGCCGUGCCCGCCCCUGCCGGGGAGCCCCUGUCGCGGAGAUGGAUCGCAGCCGAGAGGCCGAGGCGGAGCUGAGGAGGGGCUCGAGCCCCGGCAGGGCCAGCAGGAGCCCCGAGGCGGACGGGGACAAGGCCACGAGCCACAGCUGCUGCAUCUGUGGCAAAAGCUUCCCCUUCCAGAGCUCCCUCUCACAGCACAUGCGCAAGCACACGGGGGAGAAGCCCUACAAGUGUCCCUACUGUGACCACAGGGCCUCGCAGAAGGGCAACUUGAAGAUCCACAUCCGCAGCCACCGCACAGGCACGCUGGUCCAGGGCCACGAGCCGGAGGCUGGCGAGCUGCGGGUGUCUGAGGGCCUGGAUGGGUGCACCAGCCCCACGAAGAGCACCUCCGCCUGCAACAGGAUCCUGAACGGGGCCGCCCAGGUGGACAACAGCAAGAUCCUGCUGAGGAGCAGCAAGAAGGAGGCGGAGGGCGCCGCGGGCGCCCCGGGGGAGGGCCAGGCCGCAGCCCAGUGCUCCUUCUGCAAGUGCAAGUUUGAGCACAGGAAGGACCUGGAGAACCACGUGCACCAGGCUCACAAGCCCUUCCGGUGCCGGCUGUGCAGCUACGUGACCCUCCGGGAGGAGUCCCUGCUGAGCCACAUCGAGAAGGACCACAUCACCGCGCAGGUGCCCAGCGGUGCCGAGGCGGACCCCGAGCACGGCAAGCCCGAGCUGACCCCCGGGGAGUUCCCCUGCGAGGUGUGCGGCCAGGCCUUCAGCCAGACCUGGUUCCUGAAGGCUCACAUGAAGAAGCACAGAGGCUCCUUCGACCACGGCUGCCACAUCUGUGGCCGGAGAUUCAAAGAGCCGUGGUUCCUCAAGAACCACAUGAAGGCGCACGGCCCCAAGACGGGGAGCAAGAACAAGCCCAGGAGCGAGCUGGACCCCGUCGCCACCAUCAACAACGUGGUGCAGGAGGAGAUGAUCGUGGCCGGCCUGUCCCUCUACGAAGUCUGCACCAAGUGCGGGAACCUGUUUACAAACCUGGACAGCUUGAACGCGCACAACGCCAUCCACCGCCGGGUGGAGGCCGGUCGGACGCGGGCUCCGGCCGGGGAGGGCGCCGUGGUGCAGGGCGGCCCCCCGGACUCCCAGCAGCUCUUCCUUCAGUGCCUGAACCUGCGGCCCACGGUGGCCGGCGCGCCCGCCCGCGGGCAGGCCGGGCGGCGCGUGGCCGAGCUGGACCCGGUCAACAGCUACCAGGCCUGGCAGCUGGCCACCCGGGGCAAGGUGGCCGAGCCGGCCGAGUACCUCAAGUACGGCGCGUGGGACGAGGCGCUGGCCGGGGACGUGGCCUUCGACAAGGAGCGGCGCGAGUACAUCCUGGUGAGCCAGGAGAAGCGCAAGCGCGAGCCCGAGGCGGGCGCGCAGGGGCCCCCGCGCAAGCGGGCGGGCGCGCCCGGGGACCCCGCGCCCGGGCCCCUGGACGCCCGGCCGGCCGCGCGCCCCAGCCGCCGCGCCGCCGUCCCCGCCGGCCACGGCAAGUCCUCCGAGUGCUUCGAGUGCGGCAAGAUCUUCCGCACCUACCACCAGAUGGUGCUGCACUCCCGGGUGCACCGCCGCGCGCGCAGGGACCGCGACGGCCCCGGGGAGCGCGCGCCCCGUGCGCGCUGCGGCUCGCUCAGCGAGGGCGACUCGGCCUCGCAGCCCAGCAGCCCGGGCUCGGCCUGUGGUGCCGCCGCCGACUCCCCGGGCUCGGGCCUGGCCGACGAGGCUGCGGACGAGAGCGGAGAGGACGGUGCGGUCGACCCUGCUCCAGGGGGAAAGCCUCACCGCUGCUGCUUUUCCGAAGAGGUAGCUUCGACUGUGCUCUCCAACGGAGACCGGACUCACGCACCUGGAAGUAAGGCAUCAGAGACACAUAGCGGUGAGCCCGGAGCGGGGAGCGCAGCUUCUGCGUCCGCACUUGGAAACAGGAGCAGAGACGCCUGCAAGAGAGCAGAGCAGCCGAGGUUUUCUGUGGACUUAAAGAUGCCCGCGUUUCACCCAAAGCGGGAGGUCCCCACCCCCAGGGACACUGCAGACUUCCCUUCGCUUUCGGACCAGACUUUUCCAGAAGGAGAUCCCCAGCUCUCGUCCGAGAGCCCGGCUCGCCACCCGAAAGACAAGCUGCCUGACUUGCACACUAAGGAACACGCUGGGGGCGGACGGAGGGGGCCGGCCGCAGACCUGACCCCGCUGGACCUCAGUGACAGGUCGACCCGGGAUGACCCCGGCCGUAAGGAGCUGGCCUCCUCCCUGCAGGCCGCGCUGGCCGUCCACCCGUGCCCUUACUGCAGCCACAAGACGUACUACCCCGAGGUCCUGUGGAUGCACAAACGUAUCUGGCACAAGGUCAGCUGCAGCUCCGUGACCCCCCAGUGGAUUCCUCCCAACGGUUACAAGAGCAUCAGGAACAACUUGGUUUUCCUUGCCCGGAGCGGACGCACGGGGCCCCCGCCUGCCCUCGGGGGCAAAGAGUGCCAGCCCCUGCCCAUCGCUCGGUUCACGCGCACUCAGGUACCGGGAGGGGCGCCGGGGCCCAGAGGCGGUUCCUCGCCCCUGGGCGUGACCACGAAAGCCGCUCACCUGCCUAAGAGCAAGGACGGCCACUCCGGGGGCCCCUGUGCGCUUUGGGUGGCCGGCCCCGAAGGGCACCGACAGGCCAGGCCUGGCCACCACGGCCCCGAGCAGCACGGCGCCCCCACGCAGCUGCCCCUGCCCAAGGCCAGGCAGGAGGCCGGCCCCCGGCCGGGGCCCGCGGCGGGCGGCGGUGGCUUCAGCCGAAGCGCCACCCCGACGCCCUCAGUCAUCGCCCGGGCAGGCGCCCAGCCCCCCACCGGCAGCAGGCCGGGGGACAAGUGCGGCAUCCCCCCCGCGGGGGCCGGCCUCGGUCCCCCAAAUAAGCACAGUGCCCCGGACCCCCCGAAAGCCAAAUUCGGCCCUCAGCCUCAGGGCCAGCUGCACGUGAAAGGCGACGGGACCCCCGCUCUACCUCCCCGCGAGCCCCCCUCCAAGGCGGGCCAGGAGCUGCGGCCACCGGCCAGCUGUGGAGUGGGCCCCGGGGGAACCGCGGCCUCGCCGGGCCAGCCCCCGCUGCACACCAGCAAGCAGGAGCCUGCGUCCGACGGCCACGAGAAGCGCCUGGACAUCCUCAAUAUCUUUAAGACGUACAUUCCAAAGGACUUUGCUUCCCUCUACCAGAGCUGGGGUGCCAACGGCCCUGCACUAGAGCACAGAGCGGUGUUUGCGCCUAACGGCCCCCGAAGUGCUGAAGCCCACGCCCCCUCCGCAGACGCCCCCAAACAAGUAGGUCUUCCGAUUAACUGGAUGUCGGGUUUCACUGCGGUGCUGGGAAGAGGCGUGCUGGGUGCUACUCGCCAGGGCAUCCGGCGCUUUCUUACGUCAAGUGUAAGUAACGUUGCGUUGCUUUGAUUCAGAGCACAGCCCUUCCAGGACAGUCUGUGAGCGAUUGACAGACGCUGACGGUCGUCGUGGCCGUGAAUUAUGUGGACACAGCAGGUUCAUGGCUCCUCUUAGUCUUGUUGGGGGUGAGGGAACUGGGGGAGACAGGUGGCGACUGGGCACACGAGAAACACGUGCUUUUCUCCCCAGAUGUUUUUGCAUAAGUUUGUUGGAGGACACAUUUUGCCCUGUCCUUUUUCCACAGCAGUACUUUUAUACUCUGACACAUUUUGCCCUGUCCUUUUUCCACAGCAGUACUUUUAUACUCUCCAUGAGCGGUGCUCUGCUGGGGGUGGUGCUCCUCGGCUGUGCCCUCUCCCUGGUGCGGUGCUCCUUUGGAUCUCCCGUGAGCGGUGCUCUGCUGGGGGUGGUGCUCCUCAGCUGAGUCCUCUCCCUGAGGCGGUGCUCCUUCGGAUCCCCCGUGAGUGGUGCUCUGCUGGGAGACACCACGGGCUGGCUUAGAAGGUCCCACGUCCUCACACCCUCCCCGUGGAUGAUUUGCGACCAGAGCAGGCGUCCACACCCUGUCGGGGACGGAUCAAGCUCGUGGGUCUGGUCCCGUCUGCGGGACAUAUGGCUGUGAGAUCGGUGACAGGGACUGAGGUGCCAAGGGCAUCUCAAGAGCCUUUCUUGUCUGUUUCGUUGGAGGGGAAGGUUAGCAAUGGAACAGCUUUACAGGGUCGCUGCUAUAAGGUCGGAGCUGACCUUAGAAUGGACGCUACCUCAUCAGAGGUUUGUUUUUGUGUUUUCUGGCAAUUUGAGAAUUCCUAGUUGUUGCUCGGAGCCUUUUCUUGAUGUCUUUGACAAAAUGCCUUGUCACGUGUUACAGGUUUUUAGUAAGUGAUUUCUGUCUCGAUAAAACCUACAGUUCUAGCAUGUAUGGAACUUAUCUCAUGAUGCUCUGACAGUUUAUGAACUAGGUAACAUCUCUCUGAAUCCGGAAUUAAAAGGUGUCCGUACACAUGUGACCUCAGUCCGAAUUAGGUAGCACUCUCCUUUUUAACAAAUAAACCCCCUUGUGACAAGAGCCACCGCGAUGUGUUUGUGGGAUGAGUAACAACAAAGUCGCACCAUAAGUGGAGAAUUACAUAUCGAGAUUGCACCUGGAGUCAGUCCAAAGUGUUCCUGUGCACAUAGGUGACCCGUUAAAUCUACCGAAGACGCGGCUUUUUGAGGAGAGUGUCUGGCAAAGGGUGGGAAGUGCCAGGCAGGUGUAUAGAAUAACUCAGCGAGAUUCUUCAGGAAUGAAUACACCUGAGUUUGUUUGCUGCGUGUUGAUUCUACUCAAGCCUCUUAAAAAUGCUUCUGUCACGGGGAGAAAUAGAUCAACAGACCAAAUCCCUAAGACUGUACUUGAAGUUGCUUCUGUGCCACUUGGAGUUGCGCUGAGAACUCCUAGCAAUUGUUCCUUCCUCAUCCUUGAUUGUGAGCGAGAAGAGAUUUAUUUCUGUUGUUUCUUUGUCUCUGUAAACUCAGGUUCUGCUGUCUCACACUUAGCACUAACCGACCUGUUGACUUCGGGUCCACGGAGGUGCAGGGCUGUGGUCUUAGGACCUGAGCAAGGCCCUCGGUGGAUCAGCCGUCCCUCCCUCCGGCCUGGGGACGGCGCUCGCCCAGGCCGGUGACGCUGACGCCACAGUGAUCUGCCUCUCCCACUGUGGCAGCUGGUGUGCGGUCAUGGCCCCUGCUAGUCGGUUUUGUCCUCUGUUAGAUUUAAAGGAGCUUUUGUUGACUAACCACUGAAUGUUCUGGUUCUCUAAGGAAAUUCCACUUCCUUAGCAAACUUUGGAAUUUAAGCAUUCCCAAGGAGAUGUGUCUGCCAAGAUAGUUGAAAACUACGUCGGUCCCAGAGGUUUAAGCCUUCGUAUUUUUCUUAUCCUGUGGCUUCUGUACUUUAAAAAAAACCCACAAUUGCUGCGCUAGAUUUAGGGUAUGCUACAGGUCCUGAGGCUGUCUGGAACGGGAGUCCUUCAACUUACCCAGUCGUGUUCUUUUUCACGUUGGGCGUGCUUUGCUAACGUGAACUGAUAGAUGAGUCCCGUUCUUCUCUUGGACACUUCAGAAACUGUGGGUUAUGGGUUUUGUUUUUGUUUGUUUGUGUUUUUAAAUCCCGCACUGUCCUGUGUUCCUGCAGGAGUUCUAUGAUGUGACACAGUUAAUGGACUUUUAUAGAUGCUCAUCAUGGAUGCGAGUUCUGUUUUCAAAUAACCAUUUACUCUUGGUUGACCGUGUUUCCUGAGCACCUACCACGUGCCAGGCUCUGUGACACAGAGACGACCCGAAUACUGGGCAGACAAGGUGCUCCUCUGUUUCUUAAGGUGCAGGUGGUGGUUUAGACAAGAAAGCAAGGCAAGGGGGCCAGUCGGUGGGGGUCCUGGAACCCAGACUGGGGCAUCUGGAAGGCCGUGCAGGGGCAGGGGCUGCCCGCAGGAGCCCCCCGGAGGGUCAGGAGCAUGUUCCGUGAGAGGGGCCUGGGAAGUCCAGCAGGACUGGAGGACGGAGGGCGUCCUCUGGGCCCUGGGGAGCCCCGAGCGAAGAUGGCAUUGUCGGUGCUGUGUCUUGUGUUGGGACAUUCUGGACAGGCGGCUGAGCACCGCUGUGGGGGUGCGGGGGCUGAUCGGUGAGAGACACGGGGCCCUGAGGUCGGGUGCGGCCGGGAGAGAGCAGAAGGGUGUUCUCGGGCACCGCGGUGGGACGUGCGCAAAGAGAAGGGACCCAGGCGACCCUGGUUUUGGCCGCAGCCACCGGCUCUCAGGAGCAGGCCUGCCCGAGCCCGCAGCUUGGCAGCGAGAAGCCCGACGCACCGGGUUCCAGGUCACGUCUGAGCCAAGGUUGGGGUGCCUCCUGGGCUCCCGCCAGGGAUGUCCAGCAGGAGAGCCAAGUAUGUGGGUCCGACUGGGGAGGAGGAGAUGUGUCUUUAACAGCUUCCAGCAUGGACGUUCGGCGCAGAUCAGCCAACUCACUUUUGGGGAACUAGACGCCGUAGACGGUGGAGAUACCGGGUUACGGAGAGCGGGUCUCUCCGCCUGACUCCACGCAGGUCCCGGUAAGGUCAGGACAGCAGCACGUACUGUGCUUGGGUGGGAGUGACCACGCCGGGGUAGAGAGUCACUUGUUACUGUCCGUUACUCCAGAAACGACCCCGUCCCAGGUGACCGGAGGAGCCUUGGGGACGGGUGGGUGUGCGCUGCUCACGCACGUGGACCUGGGGGAUGCGCGCAUUCACGCCCGUCGCCGAUGAGCCUGCUCGCAGACCGUGCGAGGGAACCAACCUCGAUGGCCGUUUUCUUCCGUCUCCCAGCUCUGUCGGAACCUUGGAAGGGCUCGUGUUCCGUCUGGUUUUGUUUCGCAGACUGGUCGUUCCUUAGACGGAGGAUGUGUCGUUUGAGAAAAGCCUUGCCACGCAGACCUGGUUUGCGGCUGGUUUGCGGCUCUGGGCUGGGAGGACCUCUUUUACAUCUGCCACCAUACGCCGGCCGCCCUUGCUUUGCCUGUUAACGUCUGGGUUUUCUGUGUUAGGAGAUUGUGACAAGUCCUAGCGUCCUGUGCAUCCGAGUGAACCGCUUAACAGGCAAGAGGUCCAUAUGCCAAAAUGGGUCUGGUGCAGUUAGGUCAGAGUGAGCAGAGACUCUGGGGAGAAGGGAAAUCGUUUUCUUUUGCUGUGUGUUUGACAGCAGUCUGUUUCCUGCACGCACGCUGGUUAACGGGCCUUCCUUGCUCCCGUAGGCCAAGUGGCAAGGAUUCCCGGAUCCUUAGAGGCUAAAGAUGUGGCUUGAACGGAAGAGUUUCCAGGAGGAAGCUCGUGGUCGCGGGAUCUGUUCUGCAGGAUCUUUCUUUGGCAUUUGCUGUAGCAGGAGCCUGGGUUCUGGAGGUGCAGGGAUCUUCAUGACCGGAACAUGGCCGUGGCGGUGGGGUAGUUCUCCCUCUCCCUCAGGAAUAAAGGCCCCGUGUUCCUUCUGCUUGUCAUGUGAUUUAAACUGCAGGCGUCAGGGAGCUAGUAUUCCAAGCAGAAUUGUACACGAGAGGAGAGCUGCGUGCCUAUUGUCACCUUCAGGAUGCUUUGUCAGAGCUUUCCGUGACUCAGUAAAUGUUUAAUUUCUAGUAAUCACCGAUACUCAUCAGUAGGAAGAGCAUGCUUUGAAAAUAAUAGGCUGAAAUACGGGUAUCGUUGUCCCAUGGAUGGUAGGGGGACAAAAAAAAAAGAACCUAGGAGGCUUUUUGUGUGUGUUGGGAAGAAAUUUUUUUUUCCAUUAUGUUGUUAAACAUCAGAAAUGAAAAUAAUAUUUAGAACCAAGAAAAAUUAACCCUCUCUCCCUGCACUCACCUGGCUUUUGGAUUUAAAGGACCAGACUGACUUCUGCUGAAAUACGAAAUCUGGUGUUUCAGUUUGUUUAGGUUUCUUGCCAGAGUUUAAAGACUAUGAUUAAUAGUUUAUUUCUUAUUAUUCUAAAUGUUAUUUUAAAAUAGUUAAGCUGGAGAAAUAAUUCCAUUAAUCAAAAUACCAGGAGAUGAGAAAAUAAAUGGCAACCUAAUUUAUCUCAUUUUUGGCCACGGAUGUUACAACGCAGACGAUGGAGAAAUCACGUCGCGGGCGUGUUUGAGUCCGUGUAGAAUCUCUUGUCGUCCGACUUCGAGAUUCUCAGCACCACGGAUCGAAUUUCAGAAUUCAGCGCAUCUGUCUAAGCGAUUUUGUUAUUCACAACACCCAAGCAGACAUCUUAAAACACGUUACCCAUUUUUCUGGGAGAGACCGUUCUAACCCAGAUACCGUCCAGACAGUGCCUCUCGGAAAGGGAACCUAAGGACGCGUUUCCAGCGGACCCCGGUGCCCCGUGACCGCCGUGAGCAGUCCCCUGGUGGAUGACCGACAGUGACCCCGACCGCCCCGCCGAGGACAGCCACCGGACUCCCGACCGGACGCCGCACAGCCCGCAGCGGCCGCGCGGCCCUGGAGGCCGACGGGAGGCGCCUGUCCUUGAGCGACCUUGAAGGAUAACCGAGGACGGGCCUCCCUGCAGUGACGCGUGCCUGCUCUCCGCGCACACGUGUGCUGUCCGCCCCAGGCCCGUAUUUUCCUAGACCAGACGGUGGUGGUGGCGGCGGGCACGCUGGGGCACGGGCGUCCGCGUCGGAGACACUGGAGGGGGACUCGUGUGCGCGUGGCAGAGACCGAAGAGGCCGAGCGCCGCGUCGAGGCGGCCGGUGCUGGCGCGGGGGUGGGGGGACUGGCGGGUGACGCGCGGACGCGCGGUGGCCGAGCGGAGGCCGGCGGAGCGGUGGCGCCGCAGCCCGGCCUUGUCGCGGCGGGUGUUUAAAGUAGUCCGCGGAGGACAGCAAGGAGGUGGCGCCGGGGACGGCGGGGCCCGUGACGAGGGCCUGACUGUCCGGUGGCCUUGGGGGGCCCGUGCGCGUUACCCCGUUGGCUCUUUCCGUCCCUCCCAUCCCUUGUGCUCGGCCAGCCCGCGGAGGAAACACAUCUGUGGGAGGACGUACGUUCUGCUUCGGCAAAGAGCUAGUUAAACACUAAGAAAAGCAGGCUUCUUUGUUUAUUCUCAGGACCUUUUUGUAACAGGGCUACACUCUGUAAACUGCUCACGAAGGAACUGCCUGUCUUCACGAAUUCUCCAGCCACUGAAACCCCCCCCCCUCCUCCCCCCGGUCUACACCCCUUUUAGUGAUGGCAGGAGAAUCCCUGAGCAGCUUUGGGGGCCCUGGUGCUCUGGAACCUUCUUUUCCCCCUCCCUCCCCUUCCCGUCUGUCCCUACACCAGCCCAGCAAGUCGGUGUCUUUUCUUCUUGGGCCCGGGGCCCUCCUCAGGAUGAGUUCCUUCAUUCCCAGAACGUGGAGGUCCCCAGGCCCGUGGGUGGGGGCGGCUUUAUAUACCUCUUCCUCAGUCCCGCAAAUGCAAGUUUUUGUGGUGGGGGUUAAGGCCCGUAACAAAGGAUCUUAAACCGUGCAGUGUAUGCAGUUAAAAUUGUAUUCCACAGAUAUAAAUAUUUUCUUUUCCUGUUACCGUGACACUGUGUGUGAUGGUAAUAUUUCUGAGAGUUUCAGAUUUUGCACAUAUGAUUUUAUGCAUUAUCAAAAGUUACUGCUGCCUUGAAUGAAAAUGUUCUGUGAAAUUUUUUGCAAAAGCUUUACUAGGUUUUUUUUAAUUGUGAAAUUUUGUAAAGGCAGGAAAUGGAUUAAAAACAAGCAUGCUAAAUAUAUUUUUCAAAAAAGCAAUAAUUUUACAUGUACAGAAAUUAUCCUAACCUUUAAUACUGGUGAGAGCGACAGUUUACUUAAUACAGUAAUGGAUUCGUGCAGUUUUUUGUAGGAAACGGGCUUCUGAUACAAAGAUUUGUUGAAACGCGUGCGCGCGCACAUACACAAACCCUGACGUGUGGUUUUCCUGUUCUGAUGAUUUGUUGAAUUAUUAUUAUAUUAUUAUUAUUGUUGAUGUUGUUAUUAGUUAAUGUUUGGUUCUGGAUUCUACUUGUUACUGAGUUUAAAUUACUUGACGGUUCAGGUUACCUUGUGACACUUGCAGAUCAUGGAACGUAACUGGCUAGCUCACGUACACACGUGUGUGCACACACACGCGUGUAUACACGUGUAUGUGUAUACAGGUGCACGUGUGUGUGUGUGUGUGUGUGUGUAUGUAACUUUCUUAUUUUUUCCCGAUGAUUCUUGCACCAGAAUGAUCUGUUGUGUUGGUGUAAUUGGGAUGUCCAUGCAGAUACCGUUACGCAGCUGGAAUAGACCGUUCUGUAAAGUCGUUUUGAGCAAAGUUGCAGCGACACAUUCCUCUGUUCACCUUGGAAGGCAAAAUGCCUUUUUGUUGACUUAUGUUUGAUCACUUUGAUGGCCUGGGUCCCCAAAGCGAUCAAUUCUGCAUUUCGUUUUCUUGGCUGGACGUGAGCAGUGACGGUUCAGGAAUGCACAGGGGCUAGUGACUCAGUCCUGUCUGUCUCUCUGUGUCCUAGUUAUUAAAAGCAACUCUGUUCCCAGAGUGACACGGGAGGAAGUGUCGUGUGCGUUCUUACUGUCCCAGAAGCGGCACGCCGGGGCCCAGCUGGCAUUCGGAGCUGGAGGGACCCUCCCGGGAGCCGGCUUCCCGGGGGCGCCCGGUGGAGAGAGGGGCGCGUGCCUGGGGCCCCGUUGAAGAGCGCGCAGCCAAGUCAGCUGACGGAACUGUGCGCUGCGUAGAGUGCAGACGUAGGUUUCACGUGACUACACAGACGUCUAGGACCCUCCGAGGAAGCCGCCCUCCAAGGCAGGCGCGCCGUUCUCGGGCCUGACUGUGGUUUCUUUCUUCCACUGGUCAUCAGUAUUGUGUUGGUUUGUUAAUGCGUUUAUGUCAGUUUGGCCAUAGUAUUUAAUAUGAUUUGUGUUUUCUUAUUUAUUUAGCCACUAUGUUUUGAUUCGCUGUUUUUCGAAUGAUAAUUUCCGCAUGAUCUCUCCUGUAGGUCACCUUCUGACUGUUACAGACUUCUACUACCUCUACCGAUCUGCUGUUUCCUUGUUUCUCAACAGGAUUUUUACAGUGUUGGCGUCUAAUGUAACUUAGACAAUAAAGGGUUUGGUUGUCUACACUGCAGCUUCUCGGUGUAUCUCCCCGCCCCCGCCUGCGCUCUCGCUGCUCCCGGCGCGGCUCUGUCCGUCUGGCUCUCCUCCUCGCCCUCUCCUGCUCCCCGCUCACGUCUCUUACCCGUUGUUGAACUCAAAUAACACAUAAGUAAUAAUGAGCUUAUAGGAAUCUUUCAGGUUAUUCACUCAUAUUCCUUAAUUUGAAGAAUGAACAUGUAAAUUCUCUGAAAAGUCGGCGGGCAAGCCUCUUCUCUGGAAGACGGUCCCCUCUUGUGCCAUUUCCCUGCCCGGUUUCCGAAGGUCUCUUGGCAUCUCAGACGGAUACGUUGCACCUUGGUCUAAACACAGUACAAAUGUUCAAGGCAAGUGGAUUUUGCCUUUUCAGUUUUGCAAAGUAUUAAGUGCUUUGAGAGGUCCCUCCGAUAUUGACUCAUUUAGUUUUUAAACCAAGAAAGACACUGGUUUCCCGCAAAGAAGGUACUCUAGGAAGUCACUCUGGCUGAUAAUUAAACGUGGCCGCUGGGUCAGGUCAAGCGAUGUCAAUUUUGACCAGUGUGUCAAGAGCCAUCUUCAGACUUGGCCACUCUGUCACGGGUUAUGUAACGUUCUAGAAACAUCUAUGUAAGGGGGCGCACACACACACACACACACACACACACACACACACACACACACAGAUAUAGUGACUUAGCACUCGGUUAGGAUGGCUGUAGUGUGGAAUGCGGAAGUAACAGGUGUCUCUCUGGUGUUUCCCAGGGAGCUGGCUCAGGGAACUGUUUGUUCUUCCCACUGAGAGAGAGAGAGAGAGAGAGAGAGAGAGAGAGAGAGAGAGAAAGAGGGAGUAGCUCACAGGGUAAAUAUUGCACUUUCUGUGGAAAGUGACAGCGCUUGUCCAUCUGUGCCCGAGGAUACUACACCCCCUGGAUUCUCAUGGCCACGUUCUCCUCACCAGUAAUCCUGCUUCAACGCAAAACAAGCCAUCGCCCGCCAAGCCCUGAGAGGCUUCCGUAAUGUACAGAAAGGAGGGACUGUAUUUGCCUAACUUUUCCUUCCCACUUUGCAGACGAAGGAGCGUAUGCUGUUUUACUGCUUUUAACUUUGGUGAGUUCUAAUCGCAGAACGUUUUGUUCACUGAGAAAAAAAAAAAAAUCACAGGCCAGGACGUGGAGAGGUGGUUUAAGUGCCCUCCAGAGCCCCCCGUGGGCCUGCGUGACGGGACUGAGGGAGGCUGUUCAUUCUUCAUCAACUUUGCUAAUUAUGCUUUGAGGCAGUAAAAUGCAAAAGACCAUAGAAUUUGUAUUUCUUUUUUUAAAUACAAUUUAUAACAUUAUAUUUUGUACUCUUUAUAUUAGAAUUUGUAACUAGAUUGAUGUAUUUAACUCUAUUUCUGAAAAAAAUAAUUCAAUGUUUCAGUUAUGUGAUAAAAAUAUUUAGAUAAAACAUAUUCAUUCUAUUGGAAUUUGAAAUCAAUAAAAAGAUCUUGGAGUUCUUGA